UACGUAGGGUGCGAGCGUUAAUCGGAAUUACUGGGCGUAAAGCGUGCGCAGGCGGUUCGUUAAGUCAGCUGUGAAAGCCCCGGGCUCAACCUGGGAAUUGCGGUUGAAACUGGCGGACUAGAAUCUGGCAGAGGGGGGUGGAAUUCCACGUGUAGCAGUGAAAUGCGUAGAGAUGUGGAGGAAUACCGAUGGCGAAGGCAGCCCCCUGGGCCAAUACUGACGCUCAUGCACGAAAGCGUGGGGAGCAAACAGG
rnacentral:rRNA from 1 species